rnacentral:rRNA from 1 species
UACAGAGACUGCGAGCGUUAUUCGGAUUCACUGGGCGUAAAGGGUGCGCAGGCGGCCAUGUGUGUGAGGCGUGAAAGCCCGGGGCUCAACUCCGGAAUUGCCUUUAAGACUGCAUCGCUAGAAUUGUGGAGAGGUAAGUGGAAUUCCGAGUGUAGAGGUGAAAUUCGUAGAUAUUCGGAAGAACACCAGUGGCGAAGGCGACUUACUGGACACAUAUUGACGCUGAGGUGCGAAAGCGUGGGGAGCAAACAGG